rnacentral:piRNA from 1 species
UACAUUUUGCAUUUCUCUGCCCGUU